rnacentral:rRNA from 1 species
GAUGAACGCUAGCUACAGGCUUAACACAGAAUGAAGAAACGAGUGGCGAACGGGUGAGUAACGCGUAAUCAACCUGCCCUUCAGAGGGGGACAACAUUUGGAAACGAAUGCUAAUACCUGAUACUGUGGGAGAGCUUUGCGUCCCAUUAGCUAGUUGGAGAGGUAACGGCUCACCAAGGCGAUGAUGGGUAGCCGGCCUGAGAGGGUGAUAGGCCACAAGUGGACUGAGAAACGGCCCUUACGCCUUCGGGAGGCAUCAGUGGGGAACAUUGGACAAUGGACCAAAGUAUGAUCCAGCAAUUCUGGGUGCAAGAUGAAGUUUUCGGAAUGUAAAGUGCUUUCAGUUGGGAAGCGGUACCAACAGAAGAAGUGACGGCUAAAUACGUGCCAGCAGCCGCGGUAAUAC